GGUUGGAUGGCCGAGUGGUCUAAGGCGCUAGUUUCAGGACUAACACUGCUCCAGUGUACAUUGCUUACUAUACUAGUCCGUUAAGGGCGUGGGUUCGAAUCCCACUCCAAUCA